GACGAACGCUGGCGGCGUGCUUAACACAUGCAAGUCGAGCGGUAAGGCCCUUUCGGGGGUACACGAGCGGCGAACGGGUGAGUAACACGUGGGUGACCUGCCCUUAGCUCUGGGAUAAGCCUGGGAAACUGGGUCUAAUACCGGAUAUGACUCCAUGACGCAUGUUGUGGGGUGGAAAGCCUUGUGCGGCUAGGGAUGGGCCCGCGGCCUAUCAGCUUGUUGGUGGGGUGAUGGCCACCAAGGCGACGACGGGUAGCCGGCCUGAGAGGGCGACCGGCCACACUGGGUACUGAGACACGGCCCAGACUCCUACGGGAGGCAGCAGUGGGGAAUCUUGCGCAAUGGGCGAAAGCCUGACGCAGCGACGCCGCGUGGGGAUGACGGCCUCGGUU
rnacentral:rRNA from 1 species